CCUCCGCACCCCACCUCCGGAAGAAAAGCACCACGAGGUCAUCUGUUUACUCUGGGAUUAGCGGCUCCCAGCGGGAGCUCUUUUCCUCGGAGAUGAAAAGAAAGCGGACAAUCUGUCAGAGGAGGAAACUCAGUACUUUAUAGGCUGGAAAUUAAAAAACCAAGAUACCAGCUGGAAUAUACUCACACAAGGGGAACCGUGAGAGGAGAGAUCAUCCUGGCCCAUUUGGUGGGCUGAAUGGAGUGACCUGUGCUAGGAACCCCCUCGGCACCUCGGGGGUCUCUUCAGACUGAGAGCGGCGUCCUGACAGGACAGGACUUCAGACUGAAGCCAGGGCAGAUGUGGGGACAAGGAGUCAGUUUGGGGCUGCUGUCCCUUCCCUGACAGAGUACCUACAAUUCCACUGUUGUUACCGAGGCGAAUAAGAAUUUAUUGAUCCUGGCAGCUUUGACAGUCUCAAGAGUCCUGCAAGCUCUGAAUGUCACCUCUUCCAGGAAGCAGACCCUAAUUCCCAAGGUGCUGGCCUCCCCUCCCCCACAGCCUCCUGUAAGUGCCUUCUUUCACAUACUGGUCUGCAAUGUGUCUCGCUCCCCACUCAGGGCCCUCAGGAUGGCAUCUGGGCCUCAGUAAACACUAAAUAUUGUGGCAUCAACAUCGCCACUCCAGGACACUCGGAGGCUUCAGGGAAGAUGAGGUUGGGAGCCAGUGGAGGAUGGGCGGCCAGUGCUCUCAGCAAUCCUCACCCUGACUCGAGGCCCUGGGCAGGCCGCUUGUCAGGAGGGACUCCGUGUCCUCCGGACCUCAGCCUGGGCACGGGGCUGUGCUCAUCAGGGUCGCACGUGGGUGGACCCGGGCUGUGGGAGG